UUCCUCUUAAUGCCUUGUGGUUGCAGGGCUUGUAAUCUAGAGGCACUGAAAGGAUUCCCUUUCUUUUUUCUCGUAUUUUCCAGUUAGAAGUAACUUGUUCAAAUUGGGUGUUCUCCAAUUCCCAUCUCUUCAUUGGAAAUUCUUCUUCUGAAUCUUCUAUGCAUGAAUAACAGGUUUCAAGUUUUGGGGUGUCUGUUUGUAUUUAAAGUUUAGACUUUUCAUUCUCCAUUGAAAGGAGGAGAGAUUUUAGAGAUGACCUUCAGGAAGUCUUUUCUUCCAAGAAUAUUUUCAUCCAAAGAGAAGACCAUAAGCCAAACCGACGAAGAUUCAUUCGAUUCUUCCGAUUGCAAAACUGCCUUUUCUCUUCAAUUCAAGAACGCGCUAAAUUUUCCAAAUGCCCCUCUGCUAGAUCCAUAAUUCAUGUUGGUUUUCUAAGGAAAUCAGUACCCAACAUUCGAAAUUUUUUCGGGCAAGUUUACCUAAUGAUUUAUUAAUUCGAGAAUUUAAAAAUUGCAUUGAUUUUUAGUGGUGGAUAAGGUAUUUCAAUGAAAGAUAGAGACAUCUGAAUUUCUCUGUCAAAACAGAUGGCACAAGAACUACUCACUCAA